AGUGAAGCACCUCCUUCCUCUGUACUGGUACUAUUUUUAACCCCAGGGAUGUUAUCUGUGUUGAAAUCAUCACAUGCACCCGAUCUGAACAGUGUAUAUAGCAGAGGCAAAACGUGUGCUUUGUUUUUUCAUGAGACAAUUAACUUCUAUGGAGAUUCGAUUCAACAAUUGUUGCAACAAACGAUUCCUUCAUUUACAAAAUGGGGUUGUUUACCUACAGGAAAGAGAAUUAGAGUUAUCGUUUUAAAAAUCAUAGAACUCAUUGACACAGUUGAAGAGGAACCAGAUCAAGAUGUUCCUGGUCUUGUGUGGGACUGUAAGCUUUAUCCAGAGAGUGUAUGGGAAGACAAGCAGACUGUGUUCAUAUCCUUUAACUCCGAGAGAACACUUGAGGACAAGGUGACGGUUGACGUAGAUCAGACCUUGUUUGAAGCCACCUGGGUUAAUCCGUACACCUUUAUGUUUCAGUAUAAACAUGGCUGCAAUGCAAAUGGCCAGCGCUUGGUAACGGUUUUUGUAAACGGAGAAUGCCUAGCCACUUCUAUGAUUUUCGUUAAAGACAGGAGCCAGAUACUAUUAGGAGAAAUCAACGACUCAGCUUCGCCACUUCAUUUCUUAAAGGACAUUGUACAAUCUAUCAAAGACACAGAUAGCGAAUUGCCUACUGAGAGCAUAGAUGUCAAACUACUGGAGGGCACCAAACAGUUUUUAAAAAUGUUGGCUCAAUUACCUGACUUUACAGAUGGCAAUAAAAGCGGUAUGACUACUGUAAACCAACUUUUAUUUGCGUGCGAGAAAUUAGCGCGAGGUUCGCUAGAGCCUCGUCGUCGCGAAUAUAUCUCGCCGCGAACCAGUCUUCAUCGUAUGGUUGUUAUAACAAAUUACGGGUCUGGAUAAUGCUUCGUCGCGAACAUUAGUCGUCGCGAACCAGUUUAUUGGAAAUAAAUCGCGAAAUAACGUCGCCGCGAAUAAAUGUUGGUUUACAGUAUUGCUACCAUAAAAAGAACGUUGGUGAAUGACAUGAUUUGGAAUGAAUAUGUGUCUUAAUAAAGAAAGUAACGAUAAAAUUUGUAACGUGUCAUUUUGUUGUUGAGUCAGAUAGUUCCUACAAACAGAAAAUAAAGACUCUAGAGGAACCUACCUUGGAAGAAGAUCUUUCUUAUAGUACCGAUCCUGUCGUCCGAAGAUCCAACAGUCAGGACAUCAGAAAUAGAAGAGAGAUAUCAAUACCAGAUUGUUCAAGAAAAGACGCCAACACUAUAUGUAAAUCUACAGAGCUCCAAAGCAAACGGAUUUCGAAAGCUUUACAGAAUUUGAGUUCAGAAGAAGACGUACCUCUGAUAAAGGUGAACCCUGAUUUAAAGAAAUCAUUGCCUGAUGACUUCUUUGAAUCCGCACUAGAGUUCAACAACAGUGUUUGUUAAACAAUAAAAAUAGUCUUUUUCAUAUG
rnacentral:misc_RNA from 1 species